CUUUGCAUCAGUUGAAUUACAUUUCGAAAGUGAUAACCACUCUUGUGAAAAAAUGAUGAAGCCAGUUCUUUUCACCUUCCUUUUGGUUGCCCUCUUUGCCGCGUACUCCGCAUCACCAGUCGCUGACGCUGACGCUGAAGCUGCACCAGCUCCUUGUUGGUGGUGGUGGAUGUUGUUGACUACCACA